rnacentral:rRNA from 1 species
GACGAACGCUGGCGGCGUGCUUAACACAUGCAAGUCGAACGGAUCUAUAGCAAUAUAGGUUAGUGGCGAACGGGUGAGUAACACGUGACCAAUCUGCCCCGGAGUGGGGAAUAACGGCGGGAAACUGUCGCUAAUACCGCAUAUUGAGACGAGUCUGCAUGGACAUGUCUUGAAAGAUUUAUCGCUCCGGGAUGAGGUCGCGCCCCAUUAGCUUGUUGGCGAGGUAACGGCUCACCAAGGCGACGAUGGGUAGCUGGUCUGAGAGGACGAUCAGCCACACUGGGACUGAGAUACGGCCCAGACUCCUAUGGGAGGCAGCAGUGAGGAAUAUUGCGCAAUGGACGAAAGUCUGACGCAGCAACGCCGCGUGAAGGAUGAAGGUGCUCUGCAUUGUAAACUUCUGUAGGAAGGGAAGAAUAGACUGGUUUUGCCGGUCUUGACGGUACCUUCAAAGUAAGCACCGGCUAAC